CAAGGGAAUGAAAAUGGUGAAAUAUUCAUGAGCAAGAGACAGGAGAGCAGAAAGAAAAGAGACAAAGAGUCAUGCAUGUGUGCGCUGCAUGCAUGUGUGUGAGUGAAAAAGCAGUGUAUUAUCCUCAUAAGAGGCCUCCCAGCUAAGAGGCCUUAUAUCAAACAUUGUCUUUUAUCUGCAGCGUCAGUUACAGCCUGCCACUAAUUUCCAUAGACGAGAGCUUCUAUACACUGUCCUACAGGAAGACAUUUGCAUAAAAAUAGAGGGGUCAGAAAAGGCUGAGAGCAUAUAAAGCCCUCUUUAGUUGUGUGAAGUUGUGUGUUGUAUGAGGCAGUGCAGAUGUGUGUGUGAAGCUCGGUUUCUUGCCUUCAGGCAGAACAGAACAGAAGGUGUGUUGAAAAAAAUGUUUGAAAAAGAUUAAUGUUAUACAACCUGUUUCUCUUAAAACAGAGCUAGAGGAGUGGGUUUGAUUACUGAAUGUUGAUAUCACAUAAAUGUUAUCACACACUGCCCUCUUCUGGCCUUUAGCUUGCACUGCUGCACAGACACAUGUGGUGCUGUUGACGUUUCCUGUGAAUGCAGAGAGGGAGUGAUCAUGCUGAUGCUCUGCUUCUGAAAAUCAACUGACUCUAAAGUGGCACUUGGCUUAGAGGGUUUAUAAGUCUUCUGCGUCUUCACUGUUGCAACUAACUGAUCACCUCUACAACCUCGCAACUACAACAGACAGGAUCGUUCAAAAGACACAAAACGCACAGAGUCAAACCCUGACCCACAUAACAGCAAAAAAACAAACAGAGGUGACGGUUAGCCUAACCCAACUUGUCAACUGCAGUGAUUUCUCUGCUCCACCCUGGGAUGGACCAAGGACAGAGGUGUUGCUGGUUUGACUGGUCUGUGGAACAGUUAACAAAAGACAUGCAUGUAAAGAAGUUGUUUUAGCUGUACUUUCACACAUUAAAGCCUGACAUGUGAUGUUGAGACAGAGAGAAGAAAGUCAAGAUUGAUUUUACUGAUGCAAUCAAAGUGUUUAUCAGCUAUAUAGAUUGUAAAGAUUGCGAAAACCUGAAAUUUGGUUGGAGAUUAAUAUGAAUAUCUUUUAGAACUAAUAAUACUUCCAAUGACAAAAUACAAAUUUUAAAAUUUUAAAAUACUCAGUCAGUCCCCCACCCCCAAACAUCUCAACAUUUUUUAGUAACUGGAUUUUUCGUUAUCUAUUUAAUUAGUUGUUCAGUUGCAUUGUCUGCAAGAUUUAUUUAAAAGGAGCAUUCGCAUAACAGCUUAUAAACUCAACCCAACUAACUCAUCUCUAGCUAAAAGACCCGUUUUAGAACAUUUCCUCCACUUUACCUGUAGAUUACAUACUGCAUGUUUUUCUGGGAAACUUCCUACAAAUU